UACGUAGGGGGCAAGCGUUGUCCGGAAUUAUUGGGCGUAAAGAGCGUGUAGGCGGUCCGGUAAGUCAGAUGUGAAAUCCCAGGGCUCAACCCUGGAACUGCCUUCUAGACUGCAGGCCUCGAGGUCAGGAGAGGCGAGUGGAAUACCGAGUGUAGAGGUGAAAUUCGUAGAUAUUCGGUGGAACACCAGUGGCGAAGGCGACUCGCUGGACUGAUACUGACGCUGAGGUGCGAAAGCGUGGGGAGCAAACAGG
rnacentral:rRNA from 1 species